rnacentral:tRNA from 1 species
GCGGCCAUAGUUAAACGGCCUAACGGUACCUUCCCAAGGUACAAACGGGGGUCCGACUCCCCCUGGCCGCU